UGGCCGGGAGGGCUGCGCGGGGCGUGAUGCGAGCUGCGGGGAGCGCCGGGGCCAUCGGGAUGACCCGCGCACCUCCCCCCCAGGCUCCUUUAAACCGUCCCCGAAGGGAGGGGCGGGAAAGAGGGGUGCAGAGGUGAGGACCAAGGUGCGGGGUUUGAAGUAGGGAGCAGACGGCGGCAUCUGGAUGAGCCAUUGCCAGAGACUGUUCGGAACCCGGGUCGGCUUCUAAGGCUGCCCCAGAGGAUUUCUCAGAGCAAGCAGCCUAGUCGCGGCUUUGCUUGCCGACUUUGAGCUUCCUCUCCGCGCGUGGGGCGCCCCACGUGCGGUGCGCUCCGAAGGCGGCCGCGCACCCAGCCCACCCACCCCCCCAACCCGUUCCGCGCCCGCGAUUCCAGGGGCCUGCAGACCCGCCCCGGCUCCCCCCUUUUUCCCAGCCUCGGGUCCUGAGAGGGCACCUACACCGCUCUCACGAUGCCUCCCUCCCGCGGAGUGGGGUGGCAUUCUGGAGAGAAUCUUUCACUGGCAAAACAAGAAUGUCUCAUUGCCUCCUCGGUCUUGCAUUCUCCUUUUCAUGCUAUCUCGAUGUCCACUCCUCCCCUCCCCCGUUGCACCCCCCCAUGCGACUGCGGCACCGGCCCUCCAAAUGCAGAGACCGUCUUAAAGCUUGGUGAAGCCAACCACACUGUGCAAAGCCAAGGGGAGUGGGGUUCGACUUGGCAGACAUUAUUUUAAACAGCAGUUCACACAUGCGACACCGGCAGCCCAGACGUCAAAGGCAAGAAACAGGACUGCCCCGUGCCCGCUAGAGGUCACCAUAAAGAGCCAUUUGCUCUGGUUCUAGGGUUGAUACCUUAAGGAAAACACAGCAGCUUGCAAAUUUGAGUUCUGUCUCUUGACAAAGUUACCCUCGUUGGUUCUUGGAGACCUCUUUUUGGAGAAUGAAAUCUCAGUAAACUGUUUAUCCCUAGACUCGGA